rnacentral:rRNA from 1 species
AACGAACGCUGGCGGCAUGCCUAACACAUGCAAGUCGAACGAGACCUCCGGGUCUAGUGGCGCACGGGUGCGUAACGCGUGGGAACCUGCCCUUAGGUUCGGAAUAACUCCCCGAAAGGGGUGCUAAUACCGGAUAAUGUCUUCGGACCAAAGAUUUAUCGCCUUUGGAUGGGCCCGCGUUGGAUUAGCUAGUUGGUAGGGUAAAAGCCUACCAAGGCGACGAUCCAUAGCUGGUCUGAGAGGAUGAUCAGCCACACUGGGACUGAGACACGGCCCAGACUCCUACGGGAGGCAGCAGUGGGGAAUAUUGGACAAUGGGCGAAAGCCUGAUCCAGCAACGCCGCGUGAGUGAUGAAGGCCUUAGGGUUGUAAAGCUCUUUUACCCGGGAUGAUAAUGACAGUACCGGGAGAAUAAGCUCCGGCUAACUCCGUG